rnacentral:misc_RNA from 1 species
GAUGAAGAACGUAGCGAAAUGCGAUAAGGAGUGUGAAUUGCAGAAUUCAGUGAAUCAUCGAAUCUUUGAACGCACAUUGCGCCCCAUGGUAUUCCGUGGGGCAUGCCUGUUCGAGCGUCAUUUACCCCCUCAAGCUCCGCUUGGUGUUGGGCGUCUGUCCCGCUUCGCGCGCGGACUCGCCCCAAAGGUAUUGGCAGCGGUCGUGCCAGCUUCUCGCGCAGCACAUUGCGCUUCUCGAGGCACCGGUGGGCCCGCGUCCAUCAAGCUCACCGCCCCAGUUUGACCUCGGAUCAGGUAGGGAUACCCGCUGAACUUAAGCAUAUCAAUAAGCGGAGGA